AUCGACGGGCGUGGCAAGACACUUGCGCAGAAAAGAAUAAAAAGGAAAAAGAGAGAAAAAAAUUGGGAAAGAGGGAGAGAGAGAAAUCGAAGGUUCACUUCGCUACGUCAAUGGCGCGAGGAGCUGACAUGGGCGCGCAAGAGAAAUCGCAAGCGAACUCCAAUUCGAUGCAGAGGGUGAAGGUCUACCGUCUAAAUGAAGAUGGUAAAUGGGAUGACCAAGGGACUGGGCAUGUUACUGUUGACUAUUUGGAGAGAUCAGAAGAGCUGGGCUUGUUUGUUAUUGAUGAAGAAGACAAUGAAACAUUGCUUCUGCAUCGUAUCAUACCAGAUGNNNNNNNNNNNNUACAAUAAUCUCAUGGAGAGAUCCAGAAUAUUCUACAGAAUUAGCACUGAGCUUUCAGGAG
rnacentral:misc_RNA from 1 species